UGGGGAAUAUUGCGCAAUGGGCGAAAGCCUGACGCAGCAACACCGCGUGAGGGAUGACGGCCUUCGGGUUGUAAACCUCUUUCAGCUCCGACGAAGCGAAAGUGACGGUAGGAGCAGAAGAAGCACCGGCUAACUACGUGCCAGCAGCCGCGGUAAUACGUAGGGUGCAAGCGUUGUCCGGAAUUAUUGGGCGUAAAGAGCUCGUAGGCGGUCCGUUGCGUCUGCCGUGAAAACCCGGAGCUCAACUCCGGGCCUGCGGUGGAUACGGGCGGACUAGAGUCCGGUAGGGGAGACUGGAAUUCCUGGUGUAGCGGUGGAAUGCGCAGAUAUCAGGAGGAACACCGGUGGCGAAGGCGGGUCUCUGGGCCGGAACUGACGCUGAGGAGCGAAAGCGUGGGGAGCGAACAGGAUUAGAUACCCUGGUAGUCCACGCCGUAAAACGGUGGGCGCUAGGUGUGGGAUCGUUUCCACGAUCUCCGUGCCGUAGCUAACGCAUUAAGCGCCCCGCCUGGGGAGUACGGCCGC
rnacentral:rRNA from 1 species